UAAAUUAAUAAAAAAAAUUAUUCAGUUACACAUUAUUCUUGAUUAAGCCGUUCCAGUAGUAACUAACAUCAAGGAACUCGAAGACUCCACAAUCCACAGUGACCAGGCUCAAACAUUCGGUGGACCGCUUAAAAUUUAAAUCUGAGCCGUCACUUUCCCGAGAAAAUCCAGAGAGAAAAAAAAAAAAUGGUGAGUGGUCCUUCUCGGAAAUGGGCCUACGUUCGGAUCAUCACCGGCACUAUUCUCGGUGGCGUUCUCGGCUUCUACGUCACGCACCGCCUCGAAAUUAGCUAUAAGGAGAAAAUGAAUGAGAGAUUGAAAAAGUAUGAAGCUGAAUUGAAGAAUAGAGAGAAGAUGGAGGAGCUUGAAGAAUCCCUUUAGCCAUGGAGUCUUCUCGAAUUUUUGUAUUUUUUUUUUUUUUUUUUUGUGGGUCUUGUUUGGUAGCUGAGAAAAUGUGGGAAAGUUGCAAGAAAUAAAAAUUUUGGAAUCUUUUAUGUUUUAUGUUGUUGUCUCAACUAAACUAUAAGCUUUGUUUAUAGUGUUUGUUUCAAAAACCCUUUUUUUGGGCAAAAACAGCAUCUUUUUUUGUGUGUGUGUGUUUUGGAAAUAUGAAGGACUAGGGCACAAGCUUUGAGGGAGGAGAUCAAGAGGGCUUGCUAUGUUGCUGGGUUGAAGCAAUUGCAUCAAACUGAAAACUAAGAAGGAGAUCUUUACUCAAGUGAAUCCCUAAUAAAAUGGUGUCAAGCUAUUUGAAGACGCAUUGAUGUGACUGUCCAGUGUGGCAUCAUUGCAGAAAUCUCAAUGUCAAUUCAGUGAACUUGUGAUUGGAUGUCAUGUAUUUUAGAAUUAAAAAAGAAAAAAAUAUUUCUCGAUUUAAACCUCAUUGUGAUGCUUUAAGUUUCUAUACUUUCCAGGUCAUGCAUCUUUGAUUUUUAAGCUUAUGAAGAAAGAUGCAUUCACAAUUUAAUAAGAAAUCAUAGCAUGUAUGACAAUUACUGAAGCUUUUCUUACUGUAUUGCUAAAUAUCUUUCAUCAAGCAAAAAAAGUAUUGUUAAA